GGAUUCUUAUACUUUGCUGUCUUUGUGCUGUUGGGCAGCGAAAAACAUGUCCACAUUGACAUGCGAUAUUUGAAGUUGGCGGAAGACCUUGAAGACUUUGGGAAGUAUCCAUGGGGUGCUGUGUCUUAUGCGAAGACAAAUGCGUCACUGCUGAGGGCACUUUGUGCAGAUUACCAGCGAGUGAAAGUGCCCACAAAAACUGCCAAAACAAAAAAAAUCUGGAAAGAAACCAACAACAACGGCAACCGGUAGACCAAGAGAGUACCACCUCAAAGGUUUUCCGUAUGCACUUCAGAUUUGGGCGUAUGAGGUGUUUCCAGCGUUGGCUGCACUACAUUUGGUGGUGCACGAAGAAAAUGCGCACAUCCCUCGUUUACUACAUUGGAGGAGCAAUAGUUCGCCGCGUUUUUAUGAGCUAAUGAGCCAAGUAUUCGAGAACCGUGAGGUUGAUGUGCAGCUUCUCCGGCCAUCUGUGAUGGACAAGCAGCAGCCGUAUUGGACUUGGGGUGACAGUGCUA